rnacentral:rRNA from 1 species
CCGUUCAAUACUGCGGAGCUCGAGGGCAGAAGAGGGGGGUGGAAUUGCUGGUGUAGUGGUGAAAUGCGUAGAUAUCAGCAGGAACACCUGUGGCGAAAGCGGCCCCCUGGUCUGCUCCUGACACUCAGACGCGAAAGCUAGGGGAGUGAACGGGAUUAGAAACCCCGGUAAUCCUAGCCGUAAACGAUGGAUGCUAGGUGUGGGUGGUAUUGACCCCAUCCGUGCCGAAGCCAACGCGUUAAGCAUCCCGCCUGGGGACUACGGCCGCAAGGUUAAAACUCAAAGGAAUUGACGGGGACCCGCACAAGCAGCGGAGCGUGUGGUUUAAUUCGAUGCUACACGAAGAACCUUACCCAGGUUUGACAUGCAGGUAGUAGUGAAGCGAAAGCGGAACGAUCCUUCGGGAAGCCUGCACAGGUGCUGCAUGGCUGUCGUCAGCUCGUGCCCUGAGGUGUUUGGUUAAGUCCACUAACGAGCGCAACCCCUGUCGUCAGUUACAUGUGUCUGGCGAGACUGCCGGUCUUAAACCGGAGGAAGGUGGGGAUGACGUCAAGUCAGCAUGGCCUUUAUAUCUGGG